GUACCUACGGGGGGCAGCAGUGGGGGAUAUUGCACAAUGGGGGGAACCCUGAUGCAGCGACGCCGCGUGGGUGAAGAAGCGCCUCGGCGCGUAAAGCCCUGUCAGCAGGGAAGAAAAUGACGGUACCUGAAGAAGAAGCCCCGGCUAACUACGUGCCAGCAGCCGCGGUAAUACGUAGGGGGCAAGCGUUAUCCGGAUUUACUGGGUGUAAAGGGAGCGUAGACGGCAGGGCAAGUCUGGAGUGAAAGGCAGGGGCCCAACCCCUGGACUGCUCUGGAAACUGUCCGGCUGGAGUGCAGGAGAGG
rnacentral:rRNA from 1 species